UAAUAACACUAGUUAAUCUGCCAAGAAUCAUACAAACCAUUAUGUUCUGAAACUUCAUACUAGAGUCAAUAUGUAAAGAAUUAAGUUAAUCACUACAUUAAGAAACUUCAUCCUAGAGUCAAUCUGUAAAUAAUUAAGUUAAUCACUACAUUAAGAAACUUCAUCCUAGAGUCAAUCUGCAAAGAAUUGAGUUAAUCACUACAUUAAGAAACUUCAUACUAGAGUCAAUCUGUAAAGAAUUAAGUUAAUCACUACAUUAAGAAACUUCAUCCUAGAGUCAAUCUGUAAAGAAUUAUGUUAAUCACUACAUUAAGAAAC